AGACGUCGAAGUAGUCGCGGUCGCGGA
rnacentral:sRNA from 1 species